AAAACAAUUCCUCUGCUUCGUGAAAGACUUGCUAUCUGUUUUCUUCGGCAUUCGGAUUUCAGUUUUUUUUUUUUCCUGCCGUUCUAGGUGUUCGUUGAUGGUCAUCCAAAAAAACUUCGUUCCUUGAGGGGCUCGUAACCGAGGUUUCCGAAACUCACCCAGUUUACUUCUCUAUCGAUUCAGUGACCCAAUCAAGUGUGGGUUUAUCAUCCUCAAAGAAAUUUCAGUCGGAACCAAGAGAUCCGUCACCCACAAAGUUACCGCAGAUCCAGUCUGAUCUUCAACCGGAUCUAAGCCGAAGAUUCAACCUUAACAACAAGCAACGGGCAUUAUUUGCAAACCAUUGGAAGUCCCUGUGGUGUUGCCCGGGCAACCAAAUAUUUUUAAGGCCAGAACCAUCGGAAGUCUCUGUGGCCUUGUCUCGUUGUUUGUUUUGUCGCGGAUCUAAUGGUGAACUAUUUCUCGAGAAACACCAGACUCGAAAAUUAUUCUGACGAACCACUGAAGGUUACUGCGACAGUGGAUCGCAUGUUUCAAUUGUUGGAUGACAUAAUAAUCCAACCGGGUGAGCACAGUUACAUUAGCUACGCCGAUUUGGGGAUUGAUUACAAUGGUGGACGUCUAGUAGAAGUGCUUUUUUACCUCGGAGACCGGCAGACGGAACCUAUAUUGACAUCGCAGAUAAGGGACCAUGAGAAAAUCAUAUUCUUCAAACGCGAGGAUGGAACCAUCGCCCACAAUCUGAUCCAGGGGAGUAUGAUCCAGAUGAACGGGAUAGUUAUAUCGAUGAAAGGCGCGGUGAAAAAGAUGAAGUCAUUUCUGAAGUAGAUUGGUUUCGAAUACCCGUUGGUGUGAUUGAAAAUGACGACGACAAGCAUUCUACGUGAGUCCAAUAGUUUUUGUACCAGAUUCUUGGGUAUUCAUCGAAUGUUUAGGGUAUUUGUUGGUUACAUUCUAAAUUUACUUGUAUCGAAGACUAGAUAUAUAUUAUAUGAAAUCAUGUUAUUUUAUAUGUUUAUUUUUAUAAAAUCUAUUUGUGGCA